AGGGUUCGAUUCUGGCUCAUGAUGAACGCUAGCGGCAGGCCUAAUACAUGCAAGUCGUACGGGAUAGACACUUUCGGGUGUCUUGAGAGUGGCGCACGGGUGCGCAACGCGUAUGCAACCAACCCCCGACGGGCGGAUAGCCGGUGGAAACGCCGGAUAAUACGCCAUGGUUCCUGAGAGGGGCAUCCCUCUCAGGAUAAAGCAGCGAUGCGGUCGGGGACGGGCAUGCGUCCCAUUAGAUUGUAGGCGGGGUGACGGCCCACCUAGUCGACGAUGGUAGGGGAUCUGAGAGGACGGUCCCCCACACUGGUACUGAGACACGGACCAGACUCCUGCGGGAGGCAGCAGUAAGGGAUAUUGGGCAAUGGUCGGAAGACUGACCCAGCCAAUGCCGCGUGAGGGAAUGAGGCCCUACGGGUCGUGAACCUCUUUUAUUCGGGGACAAGGACGGCGUCGAGAACGUUGUUUGAGGGUACCGAAGGAAUAAGCGUCGGCUAACUCCGUGCCAGCAGCCGC
rnacentral:rRNA from 1 species